rnacentral:misc_RNA from 1 species
CCUUCCAAAAUCCAAAGCUUGACAGACAGACAUCUGGUGAAAAGAUUAGUUUAAAGAAAAACAAAGUCCACUUUGCGCAUCGGAGACUUCGCCGGAACUCCGAUCUGCCACCCCUCCAAUCCCAAUGGAUUACCAACUGAAUUCCCAAAUCUCCGGCGACUCUCCUUCUUCCUCCGCAUCCUCCACCAUCCAAACACCCUCCACUUCCAACCACCACCACCAAAACGGCGGCGCUCCCAUCAACAACAACGACCCCAUGCAUUCUUGGUGGGAAUCCAUCUCUAAAGCUCGUUCUCGCAUCCACCUUCUUUCCUCCCUCCUCCCCUCCUCUAACGACUCCACCACUGACGCUUCUCUCUCCGCCCUUGCUGACUCUGACCGCCCUGCCCGGUCCCUUCUCCUCUCUCCGGGGGCAUACUUUUCUAUUUCUUCCUCUCUCUCUUCCCCUUCCUCCGGCGCCGGUGAUGACCCACUUUGUAACUGGCUCUACGACACUUUCCUUUCCUCUGAUACUGAUCUUCGUCUUGUGGUACUCUCUUUUAUCCCCCUUUUAUCCUCCAUCUAUCUCUCGCGAAUCCAUUCUUCUAUUUCUACUUCUCUAUCUGGUUUUGAAGCUGUUCUUCUUGCCCUUUACGGCGCUGAAACCAAAUCCCGCGGAGGAAAACCCAUACUUAUUUCUA